rnacentral:rRNA from 1 species
AACCAACGCUGGCGGCAUGCCUAACACAUGCAAGUCGAACGAGACCUUCGGGUCUAGUGGCGCACGGGUGCGUAACGCGUGGGAACCUGCCCUUAGGUUCGGAAUAACUCCCCGAAAGGGGUGCUAAUACCGGAUAAUGUCUUCGGACCAAAGAUUUAUCGCCUUUGGAUGGGCCCGCGUUGGAUUAGCUAGUUGGUAGGGUAAAAGCCUACCAAGGCGACGAUCCAUAGCUGGUCUGAGAGGAUGAUCAGCCACACUGGGACUGAGACACGGCCCAGACUCCUCCGGGGGGCAGCGUUGGGAAAUAUUGGACAAGGGGCGAAAGCCUGAUCCCCCAAUCCCGGGUGAGGGUUGAUGGCUUUGGGGUUGAAAGGCUCUUUUACCCGGAUUAAUAUUGACGAUCCCGGAAGAAUACGCUCCGCCAACCCCCG